rnacentral:lncRNA from 10 species
UGCGAGUAAUGCAUUACAGCACCACCUCAUUACAACAGCUAUGAUGUCACUAGGCAAGAGAACGUUUCAGCUCCAUUCUAAUCUUAUGGGACCACCUUCAUAUGCACAGUCUGUGGCUGAUGGAGACAUCAUCCUGCGAUGCAUGGCUAUGUAUAUGCCGCCUCCGAAAUCCAGAGAGCUGCACUGGAAGCUGUGUCUCUUUCAUGCCGAUAGGAGAUACCAGAUGAAGCAACUUUCCUUUCACCUUGGAAAGAAUCUUUCAACAUGCUCCAAAACUACUGGACUCCUAGAAUUUUCCCUAAGCUGGGAAGUCCCCGAAUUUUUGUGAGAUUUAUUUCCCACCCUCUGGCAUGCAAGUGUCUUACCAAUGCGUCCUGCUAACCAGGUCCAGUCGGCAGAAUAACUUCAAAGAAAUGAAGCAGUGUGAUGCUCUCAUAAAGGAAAGACAAUCAAAGUUCCUGGGGAGUAGAUUAUGCCAUAGAGUUGGAGAGAUGGUUUGCCCCUCAGGUAUAGAGAAAAAGAGACACCCACCAACUCAACAGCUGCCUUCCCAGUGUCUGAUGAUGUGUUGAUUUGCUCCAGCAACGGAACCACAUCUGGAACAGCAGCUGCAAAUUAGAAUUGCCAUCUGAUUAAAUGUAUAAUAAUUGACUCUAAUUUCUCUAUGAUCCAUCUGUUUUCUACUCAGCCCAAAUAGGUGGGUUGGAUGAAGAUAUUACAGGAAUCACCACCCUUUCAUUUUUCAGGUUCCUUGAUGAGGGCACUAAUCUCUGCCAUCCCUCCAAGAAUACAGUAUUACUUCCGGUGUACUAUUUUCAUAGGUCGAGCAGUUCUAGUAGCUUCUUCCAUUUGGCCUUUCCUAUCAUAAUAGCCCCCACUCCAUGGGUUAAAGAGUCAAUGUGAAGAUUCUGCCAGCUGUUGAGUGUGUCUAUCCUAAUUUUGAAUUCUAGAGCUGGGGAGACAACCACAGGGUGGGUUUAGGGACCCACCAGGCCCAUGGUGAGAGAGAUCGGAAUAAAACUCUAUUGCUCACUUCACUGAUGACUUCCAAAAG